rnacentral:rRNA from 1 species
AGAGUUUGAUCCUGGCUCAGGAUGAACGCUAGCUACAGGCUUAACACAUGCAAGUCGAGGGGCAGCAUGACCUAGCAAUAGGUUGAUGGCGACCGGCGCACGGGUGAGUAACACGUAUCCAACCUACCGGUUAUUCCGGGAUAGCCUUUCGAAAGAAAGAUUAAUACCGGAUAGUAUAACGAGAAGGCAUCUUCUUGUUAUUAAAGAAUUUCGAUAACCGAUGGGGAUGCGUUCCAUUAGUUUGUUGGCGGGGUAACGGCCCACCAAGACAUCGAUGGAUAGGGGUUCUGAGAGGAAGGUCCCCCACAUUGGAACUGAGACACGGUCCAAACUCCUACGGGAGGCAGCAGUGAGGAAUAUUGGUCAAUGGACGAGAGUCUGAACCAGCCAAGUAGCGUGAAGGAUGACUGCCCUAUGGGUUGUAAACUUCUUUUAUAUGGGAAUAAAGUGAGCCACGUGUGGCUUUUUGUAUGUACCAUACGAAUAAGGAUCGGCUAACUCCGUGCCAGCAGCCGCGGUAAUACGGAGGAUCCGAGCGUUAUCCGGAUUUAUUGGGUUUAAAGGGAGCGUAGGCGGACUAUUAAGUCAGCUGUGAAAGUUUGCGGCUCAACCGUAAAAUUGCAGUUGAUACUGGUCGUCUUGAGUGCAGUAGAGGUAGGCGGAAUUCGUGGUGUAGCGGUGAAAUGCUUAGAUAUCACGAAGAACUCCGAUUGCGAAGGCAGCUUACUGGACUGUAACUGACGCUGAUGCUCGAAAGUGUGGGUAUCAAACAGGAUUAGAUACCCUGGUAGUCCACACAGUAAACGAUGAAUACUCGCUGUUUGCGAUAUACAGUAAGCGGCCAAGCGAAAGCGUUAAGUAUUCCACCUGGGGAGUACGCCGGCAACGGUGAAACUCAAAGGAAUUGACGGGGGCCCGCACAAGCGGAGGAACAUGUGGUUUAA